rnacentral:rRNA from 1 species
UACGUAGGGUGCGAGCGUUGUCCGGAAUUACUGGGCGUAAAGAGCUCGUAGGUGGUUUGUCGCGUUGUUCGUGAAAACCUGAGGCUUAACCUUGGGCGUGCGGGCGAUACGGGCAGACUGGAGUACUGCAGGGGAGACUGGAAUUCCUGGUGUAGCGGUGGAAUGCGCAGAUAUCAGGAGGAACACCGGUGGCGAAGGCGGCAUCCUGGACCGGCAUUGACGCUGAGGCGCGAAAGCCAGGGGAGCAAGCGGG